CAGCGGUUAAUCAGCGGCAACAAGGAGAACCCUUCCUCCUCUUCUCUUCUUCUUUUCCUCUCCAUUCUUCUUCUUCGAAAAGUAGCUCCGGUGAAGAGACCCACUUGGAAGGAGGACCGGCGACCACAACAUCCACCGACUUGGACAACCACCGGUAGGAACAGGUCCGAUCUGAAGUCCGAACAGGUAUGACCGUCUUCUUCAUGCUAUUUGUAAGUGAUAAAUUUGGGGCAAUAUUGUAAAUGAAUUUCUGUAUUUUUGAAUGACCUAAAUGUUAUCUAACAGCAAAGUUUUUUUCCGUACACUUUAUAAGUGAAUUUUUGUAUUCAUCUUUCAUUUUGAGUUUUAUAUGGGAAAAUCCUAGUUCAUUUCAUA